CGCUAGCUACAGGCUUAACACAUGCAAGUCGAGGGGCAGCAUGGUCUUAGCUUGCUAAGGCUGAUGGCGACCGGCGCACGGGUGAGUAACACGUAUCCAACCUGCCGUCUACUCUUGGCCAGCCUUCUGAAAGGAAGAUUAAUCCAGGAUGGCAUCAUGAGUUCACAUGUCCGCAUGAUUAAAGGUAUUUUCCGGUAGACGAUGGGGAUGCGUUCCAUUAGAUAGUAGGCGGGGUAACGGCCCACCUAGUCAACGAUGGAUAGGGGUUCUGAGAGGAAGGUCCCCCACAUUGGUACUGAGACACGGACCAAACUCCUACGGGAGGCAGCAGUGAGGAAUAUUGGUCAAUGGGCGAGAGCCUGAACCAGCCAAGUAGCGUGAAGGAUGACGG
rnacentral:rRNA from 1 species